rnacentral:rRNA from 1 species
CCAAUAGCGUAUAUUAAAGUUGUUGCAGUUAAAAAGCUCGUAGUUGAACUUCGGGGUUUACCCAUUGGUCAGGCUUAAUUGUCUGUACUGGUGAGAUGAAUCUCUACCUUCUGAGGAACUUUCAUGCCAUUUAUUUGGUGUGAUGGGAAAUCAGGACUGUUACUUUGAAAAAAUUAGAGUGUUUAAAGCAGGCUAACGUCUGAAUACAUUAGCAUGGAAUAAUGAAAUAGGACGGACUGAUUCUAUUUCGUUGGUUUCUAGGAUCACCGUAAUGAUUAAUAGGGAUAGUUGGGGGCAUUAGUAUUCAAUUGUCAGAGGUGAAAUUCUUGGAUUUAUUGAAGACUAACUACUGCGAAAGCAUUUGCCAAGGAUGUUUUCAUUAAUCAAGAACGAAAGUUAGGGGAUCGAAGACGAUCAGAUACCGUCGUAGUCUUAACCAUAAACUAUGCCGACUAGGGAUCGGACGAAGUUAAUUUUAUAAUGACGCGUUCGGCACCUUAC